rnacentral:rRNA from 1 species
AGAGUUUGAUCCUGGCUCAGAGCGAACGCUGGCGGCAGGCCUAACACAUGCAAGUCGAGCGCCCCGCAAGGGGAGCGGCAGACGGGAGAGUAACACGUGGGAACGUGCCCUUUGGUUCGGAACAACCCAGGGAAACUUGGGCUAAUACCGGAUAAGCCCUUACGGGGAAAGAUUUAUCGCCGAAGGAUCGGCCCGCGUCUGAUUAGCUAGUUGGUGGGGUAAUGGCUCACCAAGGCGACGAUCAGUAGCUGGUCUGAGAGGAUGAUCAGCCUCACUGGGACUGAGACACGGCCCAGACUCCUACGGGAGGCAGCAGUGGGGAAUAUUGGACAAUGGGCGCAAGCCUGAUCCAGCCAUGCCGCGUGGGUGAUGAAGGCCCUAGGGUUGUAAAGCCCUUUCG